rnacentral:tRNA from 1 species
GGGCGGUCGAGCGUGACGGUCAUGUGCGGCUCCUUCAGUGAGCGGAGGUGACGUUCGGGUUCGAUCCCGUACUGCCCACC